CAACGCGAAAAACCUUACCAGGUCUUGACAUCCCUUGACAACCCUAGAGAUAGGGCGUCCCCCUUUCGGGGACAGGGUGACAGGUGCUGCAUGGCCGUCG
rnacentral:rRNA from 1 species